AUGACUUGGGUUGGAGGAAAGGCAGUACUACUCAACCAGUCUGGUUAGAGCAUUGCUUCUCUUUUCCUGUUCAGGAUGACUCCCCCUGACCCCUGGCUCUGCUGGACUUUCCUUUUCCUCCUGACCUGCCUGCAGGUCCAGCUGGUGUCAGCUGGCUUAAAGGAAAAAAUACCUGUCAGACCCAAGUGGCCAGGCAAGGAAGCCAGCCCUGAGGUUCUCAAGAACUACUGGAGGUCCAUGAGACGCUUUUUGGACUACCAAAAGAGAAGAAAAAGGCAGAGCAGAUCAGUGAGCCAGAACUUCAAGGACCUGCCCUCACCUUUCUUCCCCAACUUAUGGAUUCCGGAAAGACCUUGUCC